ACCUCCCCGAUCGCGAACAGGAGAAUAACCGCGAUACCUUCGAUUGGCGUUCGGCUCGUGAUGUCAAGGUUCCCCGCGAGCUCGCUCCUCCAUCACCGAUUCUGAACCUUCCAUGUUCCGCGCCAUCCACUCGAGUCGGAUCUCGGCCACCUCUCGUCCUGUCUUCUCCACUUGCUGCGCCAAAUGGACCCGCUCUUCUGCCGCCUUCUGAGCCACAGCCGCCGCCAAUUCCGACUGCAUCAUUAGCUUCUGUUGUACCUCCUCCACUCCAACGACCUUCUCCGUCAGCCGAUCGAUCUUCGCCAUCAUCCGAUCCCACCGAUCCCCGUCUUCCU
rnacentral:lncRNA from 7 species